rnacentral:lncRNA from 1 species
AUUCUCUCUUACCUUGGAUGUGUGGAAGCUGUUGCUAUUUAAACAUUCAGGUUCGAGAAGAUUAAAUAGGGGAAGCUGUCAUACCCUAAAAUUCACCCUACCCCGAUACAAUUUUCAUCUGAUCCAUGACCCCACUACACAUGCAUACAUUCAUUAUUUCUAAAAAAAAUUAAAAAAAAAUUGGGUAACCGAUUACCCA